rnacentral:rRNA from 1 species
CAGCAGCCGCGGAAAUACGAAGGGGGCUAGCGUUGCUCGGAAUGACUGGGCGUAAAGGGCGCGUAGGCGGCGGCCAAAGUCAGGCGUGAAAUUCCCGGGCUCAACCUGGGGGCUGCGUUUGAUACUUGGUUGCUUGAGUGGGGAAGAGAGUCGUGGAAUUCCCGGUGUAGAGGUGAAAUUCGUAGAUAUUGGGAAGAACACCGGUGGCGAAGGCGGCGACCUGGUCCUUUACUGACGCUGAGGCGCGAAAGCGUGGGGAGCAAACAGGAUUAGAUACCCCCGUAGUCCCUGUCUCUUAUAC